rnacentral:lncRNA from 1 species
AGACUUUCAGGGUAAACAGGGAUUGAAUACCAAGUACCGUAGAAAUUUGCACACUGCUGGGAUUUUUUUUUUUUUUUUUCUUCUUCAGAGGUACAACCACAUCCAGACAUCGACACACGAUGCAUGGGGUCAGAAAUCAUCUCAACUAGAUGCCAACGGACAACCAGGAAAAACUCAACGUUUACCAAGACCAACGGAGAGGUAACCAAUCAUCAUCGGAUGAAGGGGAACAGAAAUCAUCUCAACUAGAUGCCAACGGACAACUAGGAAACACUCAACGUUUACCAAAACCAACGGAGAGGUAACUCAACUCUACUGGGGAUAACCAG